rnacentral:rRNA from 1 species
AACGAACGCUGGCGGCAUGCCUAACACAUGCAAGUCGAACGAGACCUUCGGGUCUAGUGGCGCACGGGUGCGUAACGCGUGGGAACCUGCCCUUAGGUUCGGAAUAACUCCCCGAAAGGGGUGCUAAUACCGGAUAAUGUCUUCGGACCAAAGAUUUAUCGCCUUUGGAUGGGCCCGCGUUGGAUUAGCUAGUUGGUAGGGUAAAAGCCUACCAAGGCGACGAUCCAUAGCUGGUCUGAGAGGAGGAUCAGCCACACUGGGACUGAGACACGGCCCAGACUCCGACGGGAGGCAGCAGUGGGGAAUAUUGGACAAUGGGCGAAAGCCUGAUCCAGCAAUGCCGCGUGAGUGAUGAAGGCCUUAGGGUUGUAAAGCUCUUUUACCCGGGAUGAUAAUGACAGUACCGGGAGAAUAAGCUCCGGCGAACUCCGU